AAAAAGUCAGUUAUGAGAUUAAAAGUCAUAUACGAAUUAAAAAGUAAAAAUUAUGAGAUAAAGUAAAAAUUGAGAUACAAAGUAAAAUUAUGAGAAAAAAGGUCAUAAUUAUGAGACAAAAAGUAAAAAUUAUGAGAUAAAGUAAUCUCAUAAUUUUGAUUUAGUAUCUCAUUAUUAUGAUUUAGUAUCUCGUAAUUAUGACUUUUCAACACGUUAUUUAAAAUAACUCGUUAUUAGAUGAAAAGUAAUCUCAUAAUUUUGAUUUAGCAUCUCAUUACUGAUUUAGUAUCUCAUAAUUAUGACUUUUUAUUUCAAAAUAAUGACUUUAUCUCAAAAUAAUUUAUUUUUAACUCUGCCAAGGACGGUCCCAAGCCCGGAUGCAAAAGGAGGAGGGUGGUCACCCUGCCACGGUGACCAGAACUGGGAAACCAGGCAAAAAAAUGCAUGGUAAUUCAAACAAACUCAUUCGCUUGUGCUACCGCAUCCGGGGCAGCCAAUGCGCCAGCACUGGGGACCCAGGGUGCUGGUGAGAAGUGGGCAACUGACCGAAAAAUCUAAUUUAUGACACCAAAAUUGGAAAUUCGCAUUGCUGCAUGGAACGUGUGAACUGGACACUACGUCGGACAAAAGGAAAUCAUUGCCAUGGAAUUGUCGAGGUGCAAAUCUCGAUCGCCAUAGUAUCCGAACUAUGCCAAACUGUAUCUGGGACACUGACCAUCCAUCCACCAACGAUCGAUGAAACAAUGAUGCUAUUCUACUCCGGUGGCAAAAACCGAGAAGCUGGCGUCGGCUUUAUGGUGGACAGACGGGCUGCCAGAAGUGUAAUUGCCUUCCAACCAAUAUUGGACCGUCUGGCACAUCUAACCAUCAACGGCACAGUUAAGACCCAUAUUCUGUCCACCUAUGCCCCAACCAAGACCAGCCCAGAUGUAGCCAAGGACAACUUCUAUAACAAGCUCCAACACACGCUGGACACGAUCCUGCAGACCGAGCUGAGGAGAUUUUAAUGCCCACACUGGUGCAGAUAGGACUGGAUGGGAAGGAACACUGGGCAGAUUUAGUCAUGGUGUGAUCAAUGACAACGGACUGCGCCUGCUGUCUUUUGCAGCAUUAAACAAUCUGGUAGCAGGUAAUAUCCACUUUCAGCACCCUCGCAAACACCAGCUUACAUGGUGCAACCCAUCUGGCGAAGACUCGGCCGUCCUGGACUACAUCAUGAAUAGCUCCCAAUUCCGAUCGUCGCUCAAAGAUAUAUGUGCAAUGAGGGGACCCGAUUGUGGAUCUGACCACUACCUCGUCCAUGCCAAGGUACAGCUGCAAUUACAGCGGGCAAAGCGCAAGGCACCCCCACCAGCAAAACUGAACUGGGAAUGUCUGAGGGACCCAGCACUCAGACAAGAAUUCCAAAUCGCUCUAACCAACAAAUUCGUAACACUCGAACCAUUGGACGAUAUCGAUGCAGAAGAAAAGCAGCUAAUGGAGUCCAUUCUAAAAUGCAACGUAAAAUUGUAAACUACAUGCUGCACUUUCAGUGUCAAAAUAAAAGCUUUCACCAGGUGAAGUGACAAAAUAAAAAAGGUCCAUGUGAAGUGUCAAAAUAAAAGCUUUCUCCAGGUGAAGUGUCAAAAUAAAAGCUUUCUCCAUGUGAAGUGUCAAAACAAAAGCUUUCUCCAUGUGAAGUGUCAAAAUAAAAGCUUUCUCCAUGUGAAGUGUCAAAAUAAAAGCUUUCUCUAGGUGAAGUGUCAAAAUAAAAGCUCCAGGUGAAGUGGCAAAAUAAAAGCUCCAUGUGAAGUGUCAAAAUAAAAGCUUUCUCCAUGUGAAGUGUCAAAAUAAAAGCUCCAGGUGAAGUGUCAAAAUAAAAGCUUUCUCCAGGUGAAGUGAGAAAAUAAAAAAGAUCCACGUGAAGUGUCAAAACAAAAGCUUUCUCCAUGUGAAGUGUCAAAAUAAAAGCCCCAUGUGAAGUGUCAAAAUAAAAGCUUUCUCCAUGUGAAGUGUCAAAAUAAAAGCUUUCUCCAUGUGAUGUGUCAAAAUAAAAGCUCUCUCCAUGUGAAGUGUCAAAAUAAAAGCUUUCGCCAUGUGAAGUGUCAAAAUAAAAGCUCCAGGUGAAGUGUCAAAAUAAAAGCUCCAGGUGAAAUGACAAAAUAAAAGCUUUCUCCAUGUGAAGUGUCAAAAUAAAAGCUCCAGGUGAAAUGUCAAAAUAAAAGCUCCAUGUGAAGUGUCAAAAUAAAAGCUUUCUCCAUGUGAAGUGUCAAAAUAAAAGCUCCAGGUGAAAUGUCAAAAUAAAAGCUCCAGGUGAAGUGUCAAAAUAAAAGCUUUCUCCAUGUGAAGUGACAAAAUAAAAAAGAUCCAUGUGAAGUGUCAAAAUAAAAGCUUUCUCUCGGUGAAGUGUCAAAAUAAAAGCUUUCUCCAUGUGAAGUGACAAAAUAAAAAAGAUCCAUGUGAAGUGUCAAAAUAAAAGCUUUCUCUCGGUGAAGUGUCAAAAUAAAAACUUUCUCCAUGUGAAGUGUCAAAAUAAAAACUUUCUCCAUGUGAAGUGUCAAAAUAAAAGCUCCAUGUGAAGAGACAAAAUAAAAACUUUCUCCAUGUGAAGUGUCAAAAUAAAAGCUCCAUGUGAAGUGUCAAAAUAAAAGCUUUCUCCAGGUGAAGUGUCAAAAUAAAAGCUUUCUCCAUGUGAAGUGUCAAAAUAAAAGCUUUCUCCAGGUGAAGUGUCAAAAUAAAAGCUCCAUGUGAAGUGUCAAAAUAAAAGCUUUAUCCAUGUGAAGUGUCAAAAUAAAAGCUUUCUCCAUGUGAAGUGUCAAAAUAAAAGCUUUAUCCAUGUGAAGUGUCAAAAUAAAAGCUUUAUCCAUGUGAAGUGUCAAAAUAAAAGCUUUCUCCAGGUGAAGUGUCAAAAUAAAAGCUUUAUCCAUGUGAAGUGUCAAAAUAAAAGCUUUCUCUCGGUGAAGUGUCAAAAUAAAAGCUCCAUGUGAAGAGACAAAAUAAAAACUUUCUCCAUGUGAAGUGUCAAAAUAAAAGCUCCAUGUGAAGUGUCAAAAUAAAAGCUUUCUCCAGGUGAAGUGUCAAAAUAAAAGCUUUCUCCAUGUGAAGUGUCAAAAUAAAAGCUUUCUCCAGGUGAAGUGUCAAAAUAAAAGCUCCAUGUGAAGUGUCAAAAUAAAAGCUUUAUCCAUGUGAAGUGUCAAAAUAAAAGCUUUCUCCAGGUGAAGUGUCAAAAUAAAAGCUUUCUCCAGGUGAAGUGUCAAAAUAAAAGCUUUCUCCAUGUGAAGUGUCAAAAUAAAAGCUCCAUGUGAAGUGUCAAAAUAAAAGCUUUCUCCAUGUGAAGUAUCAAAAUAAAAGCUCCAUGUGAAGUGAUAAAAUAAAAGCUUUCUCCAUGUGAAGUGUCAAAAUAAAAGCUCCAGGUGAAGUGUCAAAAUAAAAGCUCCAUGUGAAGUGACAAAAUAAAAGCUCCAGGUGAAGUGUCAAAAUAAAAGCUCCAUGUGAAGUGUCAAAAUAAAAAAGAUCCAUGUGAAGUGUCAAAAUAAAAGCUUUCUCCAGGUGAAGUGUCAAAAUAAAAGCUCAAGGUUAAGGUAAAGUAAAUAGGAAGGCAAUAUAUUACUUUUAAAUAAAACAAAUCUAAUCCUCAAAAUAAAAAUUCAGUAUUAUAAUAAUAAACUUAACUGGAUCCCACAAUAAUAAUUUAAUAUCAUGCAAUAUUCAACCGGAUUUUCAAAAAAUAAGUGUGGUUUUUGCACACUUUUUAUUCACAAUUUUUUUUUUAGUAAAAAUAUAUGAAGGUAAAUAUUGCUUUUUAUUAAGUUACUAUAUAUUAUUGUAUAUAAAAUAUAAUUAUGAAAGUACAUAUAAAUUAAAAUGAUUAGAUCUCAUUCUCCCGUGUGUUGAUUUAGUGAAAAACUGCGGGGAAACAUUAAUUAAAAAACAAAUUAUUUUUUUUUUUUUUAAUUUAAUGCCUUUAAAAUAUUGAAUCUACUUGGCUACAAUGUCUGUUUGGAUGAAAUUGUGGUUCAUCUAAUCAAAUUAUUAUUUCAGAGCAAAUACAUAAUUAUCGAGAUACAGUUGUGCUCAAAAGUUUGCAUACCCUGGCAGAAAUUGUGACAUUUUGGCAUUGAUUUUGAAAAUAUGACUGAUCAUGCAAAAAAACUGUCUUUUAUUUAAGGAUAGUGAUCAUAUGAAGCCAUUUAUCAUCACAUAGUUGUUUGGCUCCUUUUUAAAUCAUAAUGAUAACAGAAAUCACACAAAUGGCCCUGAUCAAAAGUUUACACACCCUUGAAUGUUUGGCCUUGUUACAGACACACAAGGUGACACACACAGGUUUAAAUGGCAAUUAGAGGUUAAUUUCCCACACCUGUGUCUUUUUAAAUUGCAAUUAGUGUCUGUGUAUAAAUAGUCAAUGAGUUUGUUGAUCCAAAAUCAAUGCCAAAAUUUCACAAUUUCUGCCAGGGUAUGCAAACUUUUAAGCACAACUGUAUAUAUUGUAUAUCGUCAAUAUGCUGAAAAAUAUUGAGAUAUAAUUUUGAAGCCAUAUCGCCCAGCCCUAGUCGUCGCUGAUACCAUGUUCUUGUUAAACAUUUUAAAAGAUUAGAAAAUAGUAGAAAGACUAGAGGGUCGCAAAUUGUGCAAUAUGAAUUUGUUCAUGCAAGUGUUUGAAAAACUGCAAGAAGCUGGAAUAAACAGAUCAAUAUACCAAAUAAAAAAAAUGCUGGAAAGGGCUGAAAACUGGAUACUUCGUCGAAAUCUAAAAACAACAAAUGUGGUGAAUCCCUGUCCAAUUUAUUGAUAGUAAAUUACAUUUUUAUUUAUAAUAGAUAAUCUUGCAGUGUCCUAUGCAUGUCAAAAGAUCUGUUCCGAUUGGAUGCUUGCGACAUAUAAAUGCGCACACCAACUCCGAUCACUUUAUUUCGCGUUUAUGUAAACAGUACGUUCGGAAUCAUCAACUGGAAUGAUUUAAUUUUGAAUAAUAAUAAAAAAGUGUCCAUAUAAACGUAGCUACUAUGUUUUCACUAUUUGGAUAUUUCCAACAAGAUUAUUAAGAACGUCACUGUGUUUGCAAUAUUAAUAAGAAUGUUAAUUGUUAAUAACAUUGAGACUGAUAACUCCGAACAAUCAGCAAAGAAAACCACGUUUAUUUGACAUUUGAAAUAAUCGCAUUAUCUGCUUUUGACGUCAAACUGUGAAGAGACAUGCGAACAAUACUCGCGUUCAUUGGAUAAGCCGGUAAGAACGUGGUGUUUAUAUACAAUGCGAAAUUGGGGUACUGGGCAAAAAUCUGCCCGUUUCAAUUGGUUUAUUCUUAAGCAAUUUGUGACCUUACAUCGGUAAAGAAAAGCCGUUUAAUGCGCUUAUAUGAUCACAUGUUGUCGGCUUAUUAAGCAUAAUCGGUAAACACUGUCGGGUAAGUCACUUUAAAAAAGUACUUAAUUACUAACUACUAAUUACAUCUUCUACAGUGUAAUUAGAUUACUGUACUAAUUACUCUGUCUGAAAAGUAAUUGCAUUACUUAUUACUAACUUUCUAAAACCCUGAUCAACCUCGACCAGAUGAAAAAUACAAGGAUAUUAUUCUUUCCAAUAAGUAAUAUAAAAUCAAAUUAAUUAUUCAUGAACUGGCCAAUGAAUUUAAGGGGGCGGCGUUAAAUUAGAAAACGUAUUUUUUAACAUUAGACGUUAAAUUUCUAUUUUAAAUUCACAAUUUCUUUAUACAGAAUGGCUCUAUAGUCUAUACUGUAUUUAACGCAAUUACAUCAGAAGUAACUAAUUAAAUUACUGAAAUUAAGAGUAAUCCCUUACUUUACUUUGAUCAAUGAAAAGUAAUUUAAUUACAAUAAUUAAUUACUUAGUAAUGCAUUACACCCAACACUGUCAGUAAACUCCAAAACUAAGUAAUCCUGUACCGUUAAGCGAUUCACUUAGUGAAUCGUUUGGAUCGAUUCAUUAUAAUGAAUGCGUUCAAAAGAACGAUUCGCGAAUCAUACGUCACUAUACCAUACAUAGCGUGCCACAAACAGACCAUAUUGAAUUUAUAUACAGAUAUGGAGAUAUAAAGAGUGUU